rnacentral:tRNA from 1 species
GGUUGUAGCUCAGUUGUAGAGCACUUGCCCAUCAUGCGUGAGGCACUGGGUUCAAUCCUCAGAACCA